AGCUUUGAGCAGUGGCAGUAUCGUAGCCAAUGAGGUUUAUCUAAGGCACGAUUAUUGCUAAUUGAAAACUUUUCCCAAUACCCCGCCAUGACGACAUGAAAUAUAAUCGGCGUUGGCAAUUUUUGGCUGUCUCUACAGGGG
ensembl:snRNA U4 U4 spliceosomal RNA